UGUGAGAAACUUAGUGGGUUAUGAAUUGACUCAUUCCUAUGUAGAAAAAAUGAAAGACAAAAUACUUAUAUAUUUCCAAACCUCCAACCCCACCUAACCUAAUCAAUUGAUUCCUUUGCUUUCACCCCUUCAACUUCAUUGUUCCUUUUCCAUACCCAACAACAAAGAAACCCCCCUUUGAAUAUGGCUGCAACAAUGGCGAAUCUUGACGAGUCGUGACACCAGUGUUGGCCACAGGUGGUGGUUCGAUCCCUUUCUCCUGUCUCCUUCCAUGGUGCAAACGAUCGAGUGCGGAACGCUGUUUCAGACGUUUCCACUCUCAUCGUUCCUUACAACAAAGAGAUCUUUCGACGACGGUUUUGACGUAGGAGGCAAGAGAAGAGGCAUAUACGACGUCAUCUAUAUUUGAUGGUAAACUUCUGCAGUCUAAGUUCAGUGAUGGUUUUACUUCUGUGGACAGCUUCUUUGCUUCUGUUGCCACUGGUGGUGCCGCCGCUUCCUCCGCCACCGUUGGCGAUUCUCGGGCUGCCGGUUUUGAUAUUGGGUGUUUUGUUGUUCUUGGCUUUCUCUUCUUCUCAACGGAUCCCUAACACUGUCAUGAUUAUUUGCUGCUGAAGGUUGUAAUUAAUCUGUAAAUUUUGAAUAUUAUACAGUGUUGAUAUUUUAUAUAUUAACCAUGCAGAGAGAACUCUUUGUACGUAUCAUCAAAAAGUUUCUCUCUUUUUUUAAUAUGUUUGUGUUUUUGUAUAUACAAAAUUUGAAAUUUUGGAUGAAUACGUUUGUUUUGGGGUAUGAUAUUUGAUUAUGUUAGAUUAAA